UUGGCAGGACAGGAGAUUUGCAAGCUUGUGAAAUCCACAUUGAUACCAUUGGGCUGCAGGGUUCCCAAGCAGAAUGAGUUGCUGUUCCUGCAACCUUCGGGUGGCGUCAUAAUGGCACUGCAGGAGGCCCAGGUUGGACAUGUCCUCUCGGGAAUGGGAGGGGGAGUUGAAAUGGUUAGUGACUGGGAAGUGCAGUUGUUGAUUGCAAACUGAGCGUAGGUGUUCUGAAAAGCGGUCCCCAAGCCUCUGCAUCGUUUCCCCAAUGUAGAGGAAGCCACAACGGGGACAGCGGAUGUUUUGGAUAUUUCUUAAGCAUUGAUUUUCAUUCAGAGUUGGUUGGAUUUUGCUGAAGCAAUAGACAUAACUCACUAUGACGUAGACAAUGUCAGAGUUCAUGUUUCGCGUCCUGUGACCCUUCCUCAGAUCCCACUCUUGACUGAUGCUGCCAGACCUGCUGAGCUUUUGCAGCAACUUCUGCUUUUGUUGCUGAUUUACAGUGCCCACAGUUUUUUUUGUUUUUUACGACACAGACAAAACUUGAUCUCUGCAGGAAGCAUGAUGCUGCAUUCUCCAACUUCCCUGCCUUUUUGUGAUAUGAUAUUGUCUUUUUAGGACAGAAGUGGCUUUUUUUUGUUUGUUUUCACUUCCGCACAUACUUUCUAUGCAGGUUAAAAGUCUACACCUUUUCAGUUCUCUGCUGCAGAAUGAAGACUUGGAACAAUUUUUUUAUGUAAAGUAGAAAAUCAGUGUGGUUUGUUUUCCAAAAUGUGAUGUCAGCUUUCCUGGAGCAAGUCUGUUUUCCUUCGGAUGAGACGACUUUCAGACAUACUCCCUUUAUUAUGAGAUUUAAUUACGGUAAAAUGAGGAGGAUUUUUAUUCACUGAGACACACAUGACUAUGUGUUUAAAGCAUUGGAAAAUGCGUUCUGUUCGGACUGUCAUGUUAUCUGGUGUUUGUACCAGGCUUUCCGAUUAAAUGCAAGUGAUUAAGGAUGCUAAUGAUGCCACAUGUUAUUACAAGAGGAAAUGAACAUACAAGUAAGGAUUUUAUGCCACAUUUAUACAUAGCAUGGACCGUGCAGCAUGGAUGCAGUGACUGAGUGAAAUGGGAUGCAGUGACUGAGUGAAAUGGGAUGCAGUGACUGAGUGAAAUGGGAUGCAGUGACUGAGGGAAAUGGGAUGCAGUGACUGAGGGAAAUGGGAUGCAGUGACUGAGGGAAAUGGGAUGCAGUGACUGAGGGAAAUGGGAUGCAGUGACUGAGGGAAAUGGGAUGCAGUGACUGAGGGAAAUGGGAUGCAGUGACUGAGGGAAAUGGGAUGCAGUGACUGAGGGAAAUGCUCACAGCGAAUUGCCCCCUCCAUCCUGACCCGCUCACAGCGACUUGCCCCUCCAGUCCAGACCCGCUCACAGCGACUUGCCCCUCCAGUCCAGACCCGCUCACAGUGACUAGCCCCUGCAGUCCUGACCCGCUCACAGCGACUUUCCCCCUCACUCCUGACCCGCUCACAGUGACUAGACCCUGCAGUCCUGACCUGCUCACAGCGACUUCUCUCUGCAGACCUGACCCACUCACAGCGAAUUACCCCUGCAGUCCUGACCCGCACGUUGCGACUUGCCCCUGCAGUCCUGACCCCCUCACAGCGACUCGCCCCUUCAGCCCUGUCCCAAUCACAAGGACUUGCCCUCUCCGUCCUUACCCGCUCACAGUGACUUGCCCCUGCAGUCCUGACCCCCUCACAGUGACCUGCCCCCUCACUCCUGACCCGCUCUACAUUGAGGAAACCAAGCAGAGGCUUGGGGACCGCUUUGCAGAACACCUCCACUCGGUUCGCAACAAACAACUGCACUUCCCAGUCGCGAACCAUUUUAACUCCCCCUCCCAUUCCUGAGACGACAUGUCCAUCAUGGGACUCCUGCAGUGCCACAAUAAUGCCACCCGAAGGUUGCAAGUACAGCAACUCAUAAUCCGCUUGGGAACCCUGCAACCCAAUGGUAUCAAUGUGGACUUCACCAGCUUCAAAAUCUCCCCUUCCCCAACUGCAUCCCAAAACCAGCCCAGUUCUUCCCCUCCCCCUACUACAUCACAAAACCAGCCCAGCUGUUCCCUUCCCCCGACUGCAUCCCAAAACCAGCCCAGCCUGUCUCCGCCUCCCUAACAUGUUGUUCCUCUCACCCAUCCCUUCCUCCCACCUCAAGUCACACCUCCAUUUCCUACCUACCACCUCAUCCUGCCUCCUUGACCUGUCCGUCUUCCCUGGACUGACCUAUCCCCUCCCUACCUCCUCACCUGUACUCUCCUCUCUACCUAUCUUGUUUUCUCUCCAUCUUCGGUCCGCAUCCCCCCCCUUCCCUAUUUAUUCCAGUUCCCUCUCCCAUCCCCCUCUCUGAUGAAGGGUCUAGGCCCGAAACAUCAGCUUUUGUGCUCCUGAGAUGCUGCUUGGCCUGCUGUGUUCAUCCAGCUCCACACUUUGUUAUCUUGGAUUCUCCAGCAUCUGCAGUUCCCAUUAUCAGUGGCAUUUUCCUCUUCAUCAAAGUUUGUGCAAAAGCAACACGAUAUGGGGCGGCACGGUGGCUCAGCGGUUAGCACUGCAGCCUCACAGCACUGGGGACCCAGGUUCAAUUCCAGCCUCAGUCUGUGUGCAAUUUGCACCUUGUCCCUGUGUCUGCGUGGGUUUCCUCCAGGUGCUCCGGUCUCCUCCCACAGUCCAAAGAUGUGCACGCUAGGUGGAUUGGCCAUGCUAAAUUGCCCAUAGUGUUCAGGGGCGUGGGUCUGGGUGGGAUGCUCCAAGGUUUGGUGUGCACUUGUUGGGCCAAAGGGCCUGUUUCCACACUGUAGGGAAUCUAAACAAUCCUGUUCCCAUAUCUCCAUGUUAUAACCCUGCUGAUCACUGCACACAGAGAUAUUUGAUAAGAAAAGGAGAACAAUAAUAUUCAAACCCAGUGCUGGAGAUGUAUUUUAAAUACACUGAGGCCAGUGUCGAUCUCCAAUUCAACUUUUAUUUACAAAUGAACUGUCUUCAACUUUAGCACUGCCUCAUUCAGAGAUAGUUGCGAGGGUGUCAGCAUCUCUGACCCUCACACUUCUUAUCUGUCAGCCAGGGCUCCCUGAUUUGGGCUGUUAAUAUGAAACAAUCAGGCAACUCAUAUUCUGAGAGGUUCAACUGGCUGACCUGGUCACAAACCAGUGCGGUGUGUUCAUCGAAAAUCAAACGUACUAGAAAGAUACCAUUCCAUACCAGUGGAAAGGAAGGCAUGAGGCUAAACUGGGGAGGGAAGGGAACUGCUUAUUGGGGGUGGCCCAGAGAGUGGAAGAAAAUCAAAUGGGAAGAAGACCAUUUGAGACUGAGGGAGAGAGAUGUAAUUGCCUGAAUGAGGCAUUCCAGUUGCGAAAUUGAUUUUAGUGUGUACACCAUGUUCAGUUUCCCCAAUCUUAAUCUGUACUCCUCUUUAAAUCAUUAGUAUCUGAAAUUUCUGUAUCAUUUCCAAAUGUUCUGUCUCUAAUGUUAUGCUGUUGGAAUUGGUUGAACUGCAGAGAUAUCAUUUAUUGGACAAAUGUGUUCAGUGAAAUGAGUUGCAUGCUAUAUAUGUAUUAUUCUUCCUGAUUCUAUUGUACGCAUACUAAUUAAAGUUAGUUCCACUUUUGAACAACAAA